UGUGCUCUGCUACAAGAACAAGAUGCCAAGAGGAGGGACUACAGCUGAGCUGGUGGAUUCUCCGUCAUGGGAGAAAAUGAUGAGUCUGAAGAAGAGAGUCUACUGUUCACAUGGAGAGAAUCUCCAUGUGAGCGAGCAAGCCAGAAAAUUGAGGAUAAUUUAAAAGCAGGAAAGAGAAUUUUCAAUGGCAUUUGGUUGAAGAAAAUGUGUUUAGACGAUGGCACAGAAAAAGGCAAGGUUUCUCUGAACAUUUUUGCCUGAGAUUCAUCAGCAUUCUGUGGCUUCAGUGGAAGAAACAGAAGGAAAUGUAGCUCUGAAUUCCAAUUAUGCUGAGGGGAAGACUGCAGCAUCCCAUUGUAAGAAAACAUCUUCCAUUGAAAGAUUAAA